CUACAGCAGUUACUACGCCACCUGGUGGAUGACUAGGCUCGGUUGCCGAAGAAGGUCGUGCCAAGCAGCGAUAUGCUUCGGGGAGGCGCAUGGAGCCUUUGAUCCGAAGAUUGCCGAAUGGGACUUCUCGAACCCUAGUGGUUCAAUCCGAAAGGAUGGGGAACGCC
rnacentral:rRNA from 1 species